GUGGCCUGUGGGGAGUGUG
rnacentral:miRNA from 1 species